CCCUUAGACGUUCUGGGCCGCACGCGCGCUACACUGACAAAGGCAACGAGCUACUCUUCACCGAAAGGUGUGGGUAAUCUUUUGAAACUUUGUCGUGCUGGGGAUAGAUCCUUGCAAUUUUUGAUCUUAAACGAGGAAUUCCUAGUAAGCGCAAGUCAUCAACUUGCGUUGAUUACGUCCCUGCCCUUUGUACACACCGCCCGUCGCUACUACCGAUUGAAUGGUUUAGUGAGGCCUUCGGAUCCGCGACUCGUUUGUGGAGAAGUUGGACAAACUCAGUCAUUUAGAGGAAGUAAAANUCGUANCA
rnacentral:rRNA from 1 species